rnacentral:RNase_P_RNA from 1 species
GAAGUUCGCCAGGCAGUCGCUGCACGUGUUUCGCGUGUGGAGGAAAGUCCGGGCCCCGCAGAGCAGAAUGCCGGCUAACGGCCGGGCGCCGUGAGGCGACGGAAAGUGCAACAGAGAGCAGACCGCCGAUGGCCUCGCGAGGGGAUCAGGCAAGGGUGAAAGGGUGGGGUAAGAGCCCACCGCAGGACUGGUGACAGGACUGGCACGGUAAACCCCAUUCGGGGCAAGGCCAAAUAGGGGAGCAUCGGCGUGGCUCGCGUCGCUCCCGGGUAGGCUGCUAGAGCGGCGCGGCAACGCGUCGCCCAGAGGAAUGACUGCCCGGCGGUCGUGGUUCGCGCCACCGCCGCUCGACAGAACCCGGCUUAUCGGCGAACUUCCCCA